rnacentral:rRNA from 1 species
GUUAGAGUUUGAUCCUGGCUCAGAUUGAACGCUGGCGGCAGGCCUAACACAUGCAAGUCGAGCGGAUGAAAGGAGCUUGCUCCUGGAUUCAGCGGCGGACGGGUGAGUAAUGCCUAGGAAUCUGCCUGGUAGUGGGGGACAACGUUUCGAAAGGAACGCUAAUACCGCAUACGUCCUACGGGAGAAAGCAGGGGACCUUCGCGCCUUGCGCUAUCAGAUGAGCCUAGGUCGGAUUAGCUAGUUGGUGAGGUAAUGGCUCACCAAGGCGACGAUCCGUAACUGGACUGAGAGGAUGAUCAGUCACACUGGAACUGAGACACGGUCCAGACUCCUACGGGAGGCAGCAGUGGGGAAUAUUGGACAAUGGGCGAAAGCCUGAUCCAGCCAUGCCGCGUGUGUGAAGAAGGUCUUCGGAUUGUAAAGCACUAUAAGUUGGGAGGAAGGGUUGUAGAUUAAUACUCUGCAAUUUUGACGUUACCGACAGAAUAAGCACCGGCUAACUCUGUGCCAGCAGCCGCGGUAAUACAGAGGGUGCAAGCGUUAAUCGGAAUUACUGGGCGUAAAGCGCGCGUAGGUGGUCCAUUAAGUUGGAUGUGAAAUCCCCGGGCUCAACCUGGGAACUGCAUUCAAAACUGACAAGCUAGAGUAUGGUAGAGGGUGGUGGAAUUUCCUGUGUAGCGGUGAACUGCGUAGUUAUAGGAAGGAACACCAGUGGCGAAG